UGCGUAGGUGGUGAGGUAAGUCUGAUGUGAAAGCUCGGAGCUUAACUCCGAAAUGGCAUUGGAAACUACCUUGCUGGAGGGUUGGAGGGGGGACUGGAAUACUUGGUGUAGCAGUGAAAUGCGUAGAUAUCAAGUGGAACACCAGUGGCGAAGGCGAGUCCCUGGACAACUCCUGACACUGAGGCACGAAAGCUAGGGGAGCAAACG
rnacentral:rRNA from 1 species